GUGUCAGCAGCCGCGGUAAUACGUAGGGUGCAAGCGUUGUCCGGAAUUAUUGGGCGUAAAGGGCUCGUAGGCGGUCCGUCACGUCGGGAGUGAAAACUUGGGGCUCAACCCCAAGCCUGCUUCCGAUACGGGUGGACUAGAGGUAGGCAGGGGAGAACGGAAUUCCUGGUGUAGCGGUGGAAUGCGCAGAUAUCAGGAGGAACACCGGUGGCGAAGGCGGUUCUCUGGGCCUUACCUGACGCUGAGGAGCGAAAGCGUGGGGAGCGAACAGGAUUAGAAACCCGCGUAGUCC
rnacentral:rRNA from 1 species